rnacentral:rRNA from 1 species
GACGAACGCUGGCGGCGUGCUUAACACAUGCAAGUCGAACGGUAAGGCCCUUCGGGGUACACGAGUGGCGAACGGGUGAGUAACACGUGGGUGAUCUGCCCUGCACUUCGGGAUAAGCCUGGGAACCUGGGUCUAAUACCGGAUAGGAGCAUGCGCUUCACGGUGUGUGGUGGAAAGCUUUUGCGGUGUGGGAUGGGCCCGCGGCCUAUCAGCUUGUUGGUGGGGUAAUGGCCUACCAAGGCGACGACGGGUAGCCGGCCUGAGAGGGUGACCGGCCACACUGGGACUGAAAUACGGCCCAGACUCCUACGGGAGGCAGCAGUGGGGAAUAUUGCACAAUGGGCGCAAGCCUGAUGCAGCGACGCCGCGUGAGGGAUGACGGCCUUCGGGUUGUAAACCUCUUUCAGUAGUGACGAAGCGCAAGUGACGGUACCUACAGAAGAAGGACCGGCCAACUACGUGCCAGCAGCCGCCGUAA